rnacentral:rRNA from 1 species
AACGCGAAGAACCUUACCUGGGCUCGAACGGCUUUGGAAAACCGUGGAAACACGGUCCUCCCCUUAAAAGGACCGGAGUCGAGGUGCUGCAUGGCUGUCGUCAGCUCGUGUCGUGAGAUGUUGGGUUAAGUCCCGCAACGAGCGCAACCCUUGUCCUGUGUUGCCACUCCCGCAAGGGAAGCACUCUCAGGAGACCGCCAGCGAUAAGCUGGAGGAAGGUGGGGAUGAUGUCAAGUCCUCAUGGCCCUUACGGGCUGGGCUACACACGUGCUACAAUGGCGGUGACAGUGGGAUGCAAUGGGGCAACCCUGCGCAAAUCUCAAAAAGCCGUCUCAGUUCGGAUUGUGCUCUGCAACUCGAGCACAUGAAGUCGGAAUCGCUAGUAAUCGCAGAUCAGCACGCUGCGGUGAAUACGUUCCCGGGCCUUGUACACACCGAGACGAC